AUGCAAAUCUGUUCAGAAGCAUAUAUAUUAUGCUUUGCUUUGCUGACAUUCUAUUUUGAAGAACGGUUUGCUACAGUUAUCAUGCGGAUAAGAGAACCAAAAACUACCACAUUGAUAUCUGCUUCAGGAAAAAUGGUUUGCACUGGAGCAAAAAGUGAACAACAAUGUAAACUCGCAGCUAGAAAGGUCAAAUAUUUGACGAUGUUUUCUUCUCCCAACCUGGCAAGGUAUUGUACUACCUACAUGCAUCACAUUACUGGAAGGAGUAAGAAGUCAGUUGGAGUGAGAAGUGAGACAAGUACCAUGAGCUCAAGUGAUCCAUUCACCAAGCUGGUAAACGCAUAA
rnacentral:rRNA from 1 species